UCUGAGUGAGUUUGGUUAACUUCCCCUUUCUGAGUGAGUUUGGUUAACUUCCCCUUUCUGAGUGAGUUUGGUUAACUUCCCCUUUCUGAGUGAGUUUGGUUAACUUCCCCGUUCUGAGUGAGUUUGGUUAACUUCCCCUUUCUGAGUGAGUUUGGUUAACUUCCCCCUUUCUGAGUGAGUUUGGUUAACUUCCCCCUUGCCUAGUAACAGGGGUGGGGGGUCUUCUUGAGAAAGCACUUCUUCUGAACUGGAGACUUGGUGUCACCCAAACAGAUGGUUCAACGACACCGUAAACACACACACACACACACACACACACACACACACACACACACACACACACACACACACACACACACACACACACACACACACACACACACACACACACACACACACACACACACACACACACACACACACACUUCCCCCUGCCCUGGUCAGAGCCACAGCGGAGGGCGACGAGGUGCUCUCCCUGCCAGUGUUUAUGUGAGCAGGCAGUCAGUCAACCAGACUCCAUUACUCUGAAGGACCUGCCACUGAAUCAAGCCACUGUGUUUACAUGGAAAUCAGGAAUGUCAAACGGACUGACAGCCGAGACCAGAGUCAAAACUCUAAAGCUAUAUUUUAUUUUGUAUUCUUUAUUCUGAUCCCCAUCAGCUGACUCUUAAGCAACUUCUGGUCUUCACUGGGGCCAUAAAAAAGACAUUACAAACACGAAAGCCAAUCUGUAGAAUGUGAGAAGUAGAUGUAUGUAUGUUAAUGUAUGUAUGAUGGUUAGUGAGGUGUCAAUGUGAGAAGUAGAUGUAUGUAUGUUGAUGUGUGUAUGAUGGUUAGUGAGGUGUCAAUGUGAGAAGUAGAUGUAUGUAUGUUGAUGUGUGUAUGAUGGUUAGUGAGGUGUCAAUGUGAGAAGUAGAUGUAUGUAUGUUGAUGUGUGUAUGAUGGUUAGUGAGGUGUCAAUGUGAGAAGUAGAUGUAUGUAUGUUGAUGUGUGUAUGAUGGUUAGUGAGGUGUCAAUAUAAAGCCAGGAGAAUCCAUCCAGUCCCAAACACUCCUCUAGAUGACGCAUUUAGAAAGUAUUGGUGCUUAGUAUGUAGAAUGAAGGAGUAGACUUUCAAAUCCAUUGUUUAUUCUGUAAAUAUCAUAUUUAUAUAUUUGUUGAUCUGUAGGCGCAGUGAUUUUGUGAAGUUUUGUGAAACGGAAUCAAUGAAGGUGUGCUUUCUGUGUAAUGUUUAAAAAUGGCAGUUCUGCUACUGUUUAAAAUAAUAUACCAUUAGUUAUAUUUCAGUUAUCUUGUUCUUUUUGUUCAAUUCGUUUGCAUUUAUUUCACUACACAAAAGAAAAACAGCCAAUGUGUGUACAUUUCAGUCACAACCUGCAACUCUUUUUGAAUUUGCAAACGCAGUUUCUUGCCAGUCAGUGGAUGUUUUUACGCUCUUGUGUAAAAUAACAAAUAAAUGCACAAAACGGUU